GACAGAGGCCUCAAGCGUUAGGCGGAAUCACUGGGCUUAAAGCGUGUGUAGGCGGAUCGUUAAGUGUCUUGUGAAAUCCCACGGCUCACCCGCGGAACGGCUGGGCAUACUGGCGAUCUUGGGCCAACUAGGGGCAACUGGAACAAGCGGUGGAGCGGUGAAAUGCGUAGAUAUCGCUUGGAACGCCGAAGGUGAAAACAGGUUGCUGGGGUUGUGCCGACGCUGAGACACGAAAGCCAGGGGAGCAAACAGG
rnacentral:rRNA from 1 species